rnacentral:rRNA from 1 species
GACGAACGCUGGCGGCGUGCCUAAUACAUGCAAGUAGAACGCUGAAGGAGGAGCUUGCUCUUCUGGAUGAGUUGCGAACGGGUGAGUAACGCGUAGGUAACCUGCCUGGUAGCGGGGGAUAACUAUUGGAAACGAUAGCUAAUACCGCAUAACAGUAGAUGUUGCAUGACAUUUGCUUAAAAGGUGCAAUUGCACCACUACCAGAUGGACCUGCGUUGUAUUAGCUAGUUGGUGGGGUAACGGCUCACCAAGGCGACGAUACAUAGCCGACCUGAGAGGGUGAUCGGCCACACUGGGACUGAGACACGGCCCAGACUCCUACGGGAGGCAGCAGUAGGGAAUCUUCGGCAAUGGAUGGAAGUCUGACCGAGCAACGCCGCGUGAGUGAAGAAGGUUUUCGGAUCGUAAAGCUCUGUUGUAAGAGAAGAACGAGUGUGAGAGUGGAAAGUUCACACUGUGACGGUAUCUUACCAGAAAGGGACGGCUAACUACGUG